rnacentral:misc_RNA from 1 species
AACGCACAUUGCGCCUUUUGGUAUUCCGAAAGGCAUACUUGUUCGAGCGCCGUUUUCAUACUUCAAGCUUUGCUUGGUGUUGAAUGAGUUUCAUUAGAAACCUUUCCAAAUUCUUUGGCAUCUUCUAAUUAAAUCCAAAGCAUGACAGUCAUUAUCUUGCUAUAGAUUUAUUAGAUGGUAGCCUAUUUUUGAGAAUUGAUGGCCUCGGAUCAAGUAAGGUUACCCGCUGAACUUAA